UACAGAGGUCCCAAGCGUUGUUCGGAUUCACUGGGCGUAAAGGGUGCGUAGGUGGUGGGAUAAGUCGGGUGUGAAAUCUCCGGGCUCAACCCGGAGGGUGCGCCCGAAACUGUCUCGCUAGAGGAUGGGAGGGGAGACUGGAAUUCUCGGUGUAGCAGUGAAAUGCGUAGAUAUCGAGAGGAACACCGGUGGCGAAGGCGAGUCUCUGGACCAUUCCUGACACUGAGGCACGAAAGCCGGGGGAGCAAACAGG
rnacentral:rRNA from 1 species